rnacentral:rRNA from 1 species
AGUGAACGCUGGCGGUAGGCCUAACACAUGCAAGUCGAACGGCAGCACAGUAAGAGCUUGCUCUUACGGGUGGCGAGUGGCGGACGGGUGAGGAAUACAUCGGAAUCUACUUUUUCGUGGGGGAUAACGUAGGGAAACUUACGCUAAUACCGCAUACGACCUACGGGUGAAAGCAGGGGAUCUUCGGACCUUGCGCGAUUGGAUGAGCCGAUGUCGGAUUAGCUAGUUGGCGGGGUAAAGGCCCACCGAGGCGACGAUCCGUAGCUGGUCUGAGAGGAUGAUCAGCCACACUGGAACUGAGACACGGUCCAGACUCCUACGGGAGGCAGCAGUGGGGAAUAUUGGACAAUGGGCGCAAGCCUGAUCCAGCCAUACCGCGUGGGUGAAGAAGGCCUUCGGGUUGUAAAGCCCUUUUGUUGGGAAAGAAAAGCAGCAGGUUAAUACCCCGCUGUUCUGACGGUACCCAAAGAAUAAGCACCGGCUAACUUCGUG